UCCAGCCUGGUGUUCCCGCUCACCCGAAUCCGAGAUGUCAUCCCAAUAGGGCGAAUCAAACUCAUACUCGGCCCGCAGAAUCUGCUCAAAGAGUUUGGCAUCGUUCUCAUCAUAGAACGGGGGGUACUUGACGGCAUCGAGGAUCUGCCGGAUCAGGGCGCUGGCAUCCCGCUCCGUGUAGAAACCCUUCUCGACGAUGCGGUCAAAGAGCUCUCCCCCCGAGACCCUAAGAGGGGCAGCACGGUCAGCAUGGCCCCCUCUGGACACCCCGGUGCCCCCCCAUCAUCACUCACAGCUGCAUGAUGAGGUAGAGCGCCUUCUUAGCGAUGCACUUGAUGGCCACGAGCUUCCGCGUCGCCUUCUCCUCCGCCAGGACCACCUCGGAGAAGGCCCCCCUAUGGGGA